UAUCUGUACAACAACCAAAUAACUGCAAUACAACAAGGAACAUUUCAAGACCUUCCAGCGCUGGACCGUCUGUAUUUGUACAGCAAUCAGAUAACUUCAAUACAGGAAGGAGCAUUUCAAGACCUACCAGCGCUAACCUCUCUAUAUCUGUACAAUAAUCAAAUAACUACAAUACAACAAGGAACAUUUCAAGACCUUCCAGCGCUAGACCGUCUGGAUUUGUACAGCAAUCUAAUAACUUCAAUACAGGAAGGAACAUUUCAAGACCUACCAGCGCUAACCUCUCUAGACCUGUCAAAUAAUUAUUUAACCAUGCUUGAAGAAAAUGUAUUCCAAAACCUGACGGCGCUUCAAACCUUGGAUUUAUCUGACAAUCCACUGAAAUGUGUCAACUGUGAAUUGUUACAACUCAAGUUAUUUCUACAAAAUCAGACUCUUGGUAAUGCAGGCGCAAUGUGUAAUGGAACAAGUAUAAUGGUAGUUGACUUUAAUUUCACAGAUUGCACAGCACGCGAAAGUGCUGACGUCAUAACAACAACGGAAACAACGACUGACGCUCUAGCAUCAACCUCCAAUACUGUUCAAACUACAGUAAUUACAACACAAGAUGAUCAAUUAACAUCAACAGUUACUUUGGUUA